rnacentral:rRNA from 1 species
ACUCCUACGGGAGGCAGCAGUGGGGAAUCUUAGACAAUGGGGGCAACCCUGAUCUAGCCAUGCCGCGUGAGUGAUGAAGGCCUUAGGGUUGUAAAAGCCUUUCAGUCUGGGAAGAUAAUGACGGUACCAGCAGAAGAAGCCCCGGCUAACUCCGUGCCAGCAGCCGCGGUAAUACGGAGGGGGCUAGCGUUGUUCGGAAUUACUGGGCGUAAAGCGCACGUAGGCGGACCAGAAAGUUGGGGUGAAAUCCCGGGGCUCAACCUCGGAACUGCCCUCAAAACUAUUGGUCUGGAGUUCGAGAGAGGUG